GACAGAGGGUGCAAACGUUGCUCGGAAUUACUGGGCGUAAAGCGCAUGUAGGUGGACUGGUGUGUCAGAUGUGAAAUCCCUGGGCUCAACCCAGGAACUGCACCUGAAACUACCAGUCUUGAGUGGUGGAGAGGGAAGUGGAAUUCCUGGUGUAGAGGUGAAAUUCGUAGAUAUCAGGAGGAACACCAGUGGCGAAGGCGGCUUCCUGGACACCAACUGACGCUGAGACGCGAAAGCGUGGGGAGCAAACAGG
rnacentral:rRNA from 1 species